GAUGAACGCUGGCGGCGUGCCUAAUACAUGCAAGUCGAGCGAACGGACGAGAAGCUUGCUUCUCUGAUGUUAGCGGCGGACGGGUGAGUAACACGUGGAUAACCUACCUAUAAGACUGGGAUAACUUCGGGAAACCGGAGCUAAUACCGGAUAAUAUUUUGAACCGCAUGGUUCAAAAGUGAAAGACGGUCUUGCUGUCACUUAUAGAUGGAUCCGCGCUGCAUUAGCUAGUUGGUAAGGUAACGGCUUACCAAGGCAACGAUGCAUAGCCGACCUGAGAGGGGUGGCGGCCAACAGUGGAACUGAAAAGGGACCCAGACACAUGGGGGCGAAAGCGGAAGGAAAUCGUCCGCAGGGGGCGAAAGCCAGACGGACCACCGCGGGGUGGGUAAUGAGGGUGUUCGGAUCAAAAACCUGUUUUAUAGGGGAAAAAAAUAUGUGAAAGAAACUGUACACUUCUGGGGGUUCCCUAAUAAAAAGCCCACGGCAACCUACGUC
rnacentral:rRNA from 1 species